rnacentral:rRNA from 2 species
UGGGGAAUAUUGCACAAUGGGGGAAACCCUGAUGCAGCGACGCCGCGUGAGCGAUGAAGGCUUUCGAGUCGUAAAGCUCUGUCCUAUGGGAAGAUAGUGACGGUACCAUAGGAGGAAGCCCCGGCUAACUACGUGCCAGCAGCCGCGGUAAUACGUAGGGGGCGAGCGUUGUCCGGAAUCAUUGGGCGUAAAGGGUUCGCAGGCGGAAAGACAAGUCAGUUGUGAAAUCCAGAGGCUUAACCUCUGUAAGCAAUUGAAACUGUAUUUCUUGAGAUAUGGAGAGGUAAGUGGAAUUCCUAGUGUAGCGGUGAAAUGCGUAGAUAUUAGGAGGAAUACCAGUGGCGAAGGCGACUUACUGGCCAUAUACUGACGCUGAGGAACGAAAGCGUGGGGAGCAAACAGG